AAAACAUCGCCUCCUGCAACACAACCAAGUAUAGGAGGUCCAGCCUGCCCGGUGACUACAAGUUUAACGGCCGCGGUAUUUUGACCGUGCAAAGGUAGCGUAAUCACUUGUCUUCUAAAUAAAGACCUGUAUGAAUGGCCAAACGAGGGCUUAACUGUCUCCCCUUUCCAGUCAGUGAAAUUGAUCUGCCCGUGCAGAAGCGGACAUAAUAAUACAAGACGAGAAGACCCUUUGGAGCUUAAGGUACAAAACUCAACCACGUAAAGCAACUCAAUAAAAAGAACAAACUUUGUGGAACAUGAAAUUUUACCUUCGGUUGGGGCGACCACGGAGAAAAAUAAAUCCUCCAAGUGGAUUGGGAUUAAACCCCCUAAAACCAAGAGAGACAUCUCCAAGCCACAGAACAUCUGACCAAACAUGAUCCGGCUAAUAAAGCCGAUCAACGGACCAAGUUACCCUAGGGAUAACAGCGCAAUCCUCUCCCAGAGUCCAUAUCGACGAGGGGGUUUACGACCUCGAUGUUGGAUCAGGACAUCCUAAUGGUGCAGCCGCUAUUAAGGGUUCGUUUGUUCAACGAUUAAAGUCCUACGUGA
rnacentral:rRNA from 1 species